CCCCCUGCUCCUGCACAGCCCUUUUCCAUGACUUGGAGGCAGCCGAUGACUUCACUCCAUCCUCCACUUCUCAGCCUUCGUCCUCCAGCAGCAACACUAUUGCCUGAGUUGGUCCAAAAGGAGGAGAGCCGCCAGGACACCACGCAGUUGGUCCAGCCUCCAGAAGGCAUCCAGGGGAUCUAAGGUGGGGACAUGUGGACAUCUGAAAAGAAGGUGACCUUCAAGAGUGGAAGGGUGGAUUUUUUUCAGUUUCAACCAAAAGAUUCCUGACUAAAGCAGCCUUAUCAUACAUCAAGGCACUGUCUUGUUCCAGCUCUGCCGACUCCUUCAACCUCCUCUGGGCCAGUACCUGCAGCCCCACACUCCUCAUGUUGAUUAUACCUGGUUCCACUUCAUCCAUUACUGUGUGCUCCAAAGAGCAACUGGAAAAGGAGUACGUCAAGGCUGUAUAUUGUCACCCUGCUUAUUUAACUUAUACGCAGAGUACAUCAUACAAAAUGCCAGGCUGGAUGAAGCACAAGUUGGAAUCAAAAUUGCCAGGAGAAAUAUCAAUAGCUUCACAUAUGCAGAUGACACCACCCUUUUGGCAGAAAGCGAGGAGGAACUAAAGAGCCUCUUGAUGAUAGUGAAAGAGGAAAGUGAAAAAGCUGUCUUAAAACUCAACUUUCAAAAAACUAAGAUCAUGGCAUCUGGUCCCAUCACUUCAUGGCGAAUAGAUGGGGAAACAAUGGAAAUAGUGACAGACUUUAUGUUCUUGGGCUCCAAAAUCACUGCAGAUGGUGGCUGCAGCCAUGAAAUUAAAAGACACUUGCUCCUUGGAAGGAGAGCUAUGACCAACCUAGACAGCAUAUUAAAAAGCAGAGACAUUACUUUGCUGACAAAGGUCCAUCUAGUCAAAGCUAUGGUUUUUCCAGUAGUUUUGUGUGGAUGUGGGAGUUGAACCAUUAAGAAAGCUGAGCACCAAAGAAUUGAUGCUUUUAAACUGUGGUACUGGAGAAGAUUUUUGAGAGUCCCUUGGACUGCAAGGAGAUCAAACCAGUCAAUCCUAAAGGAAAUCAGUCCUGAAUAUUCAUUGGAAGGACUGAUAUUGAAGCUCCAAUAUUUUGGCCACCUGAUGUGAAAAACUGACUCAUUUGAGAAGACCCUGAUGCUGGGAAAGAUUGAAGGUGGGAGGAGAAGGGGACGACAGAGCAUGAGAUGGUUGGAUGGCAUCAACGACUCGACAAACAUGAGUUUGAGCAAACUCUGGGAGAUGGUGAUGGACAAGGAAGCCUGGCGUGUUACAGUCCAUGGGGUCACAAAGAGUCAGACACAACUGAGUGACUGAACUGAACUGCACUGGAGCAGGAGCAAGAAACACAACAAAAAUGAUAAAAUGCGUCACCGCUGUCAUGUGAGGAGCCAGGAAUCAAGGCAGGCUCUCCCCACAGGGAACUAGCUUCUUUGUCUCUGCAUCCCCUGUGUUUAAUACAGUUCCUGGCAAAGAGCAAGUCCUCAGGACGUGCUUGUUGAGUUGGUGACAAAAUGCUACGCUUCUGGGAGCAAGUCAAAGGAGAAAACUGUUCACUCUGCUCCAAACAAGUGCAUCUAUUCACUCUGAAAACACAUGACCUUCUGCAGAAAAAAAAAAAUCUUCACAAUUCAUUUUCCAUAGAGCAGCAGAGUGAUCUUUUUUUUUAAGGCUGUGUGUGUGUGCGUGUGUGUGUGUGUGCGCACGCGCGCCAUGCUGCAUGUCUAGUUCCCCUACAAGGCAUCAAAAUCAAACCUGGGCCCACGGCAGUGAAAGCACCAAAUCCUAACCACUCGACCACCAUGGAAUUCCCCAAAGUGAUCUUUUAAUAUUUUAAAUCAGAUCAUGCUACUCCCUGCUUAAAAUCUUUCGUUUCCCACUGCACUUUGAAUAAA